CUAGGUACCUACCGAAUGUUUUUGAUUGUUUCACUAAAAUAAAUGCCGUUCUUUUAUACUAGACAGUACAAUUUCAAAGCUUCGGUUUCAAUAUCUCGGACCUCGGGCAAAUCUUUUUCCAUUUAUUUUUUUCAUCUGACUUCCGUGCAAAAUGUAAAAAAAGCUGAAAACUACGUAAAAGUUAGAACAGUGGACAAAUUCAGGAAAAAUUGGCGUAGAGAUCCGAAUCGAAAAUAUUCUACGUAAAAAUACAAACAGAGGAGGAUGGACGGGAAAACAUUUUUCUAUCGGUGUGUUGGGGGUAAUCUGCUCUGGAGUACCUUCUACUGUAGGUGUCACAGACGGUCCACUAUGCCGUGGAUGCAUGGAGAAUGAAGAAACAGUUUCUCACGUGGUCACGGUGGAAUGCAGCGAAGUGACAGGGCAAAACAUCUCGCGAGAGACCUCCCCGAGUUUUAUAUUAAAGGAAAAAAUGGAAAAAUUACGCUUCCGGCAGGACUUGAACCCGCAACCUCCGCAAUCCGUGCGUUAGCUCUGCCAAUUGAGCUACGGAAGCCUACCAGAAUCUUGCGAAUCUUUCCAAGGGGUGCUGCGCACGUCACGCAGCGCACGCCACACAGUGUGCUGCACACGCAGCCGAUGUGGCUCGGCCUUAAAUGCGUAACCACAGCACGCAGUAACCCGACGUAUACCGGGGUGCGCACUUGAUCCACCUGCAUCACGCACCUACUCAGCGAUCAGAAACGUGCGGACCCUGCCGGCUGGAUUUAGAGGUCUAUGAUAACCGUCCCCUCAAAACCUUA